GCGGGUGUGGCGGAAUUGGCAGACGCACAGGACUUAGGAUCUGGCGCCGCAAGGCGUGGGGGUUCGACUCCCUUCACCCGCA
rnacentral:tRNA from 1 species